rnacentral:lncRNA from 1 species
CAUCUGCGCUGUUCUCACUCAGGUUUUUGCAUUAUUUAUUUAAAUAUUUUAAGAAUCAGUCCCCUGCGUUUGGCUCCUUCACCACCACUUCCUGGCAACAGCACAAUACCAUUUUUCCAUGUUUUUUCUCCUUACUGUUAUUGCUAGAAUUGUGAUAGGGCAGCAAAAAUGGACUAAUACUUGCCUCAAAAGGAGAACUAAAGAACAUUGCUUUACAAUGUGCAUGCGGCUGGCCCUGCACAGGUAG